rnacentral:rRNA from 1 species
GACGAACGCGGCGGCGUGCUUAACACAUGCAAGUCGAACGAAGAGCGAUGGAAGCUUGCUUCUAUCAAUCUUAGUGGCGAACGGGUGAGUAACGCGUAAUCAACCUGCCCUUCAGAGGGGGACAACAGUUGGAAACGACUGCUAAUACCGCAUACGAUCUAACCUCGGCAUCGAGGAAAGAUGAAAGGUGGCCUCUAUGUAUAAGCUAUCACUGAAGGAGGGGAUUGCGUCUGAUUAGCUAGUUGGAGGGGUAACGGCCCACCAAGGCGAUGAUCAGUAGCCGGUCUGAGAGGAUGAACGGCCACAUUGGGACUGAGACACGGCCCAGACUCCUACGGGAGGCAGCAGUGGGGAAUCUUCCGCAAUGGUCGAAAGUCUGACGGAGCAACGCCGCGUGAGUGAUGACGGCCUUCGGGUUGUAAAGCUCUGUUAAUCGGGACGAAAGGCCUUCUUGCGAAUAGUAGAAGAUGACGGACCGAAAGAAGCCCGC